AUGGUUCCAGAUUUCUUUCCUAGGGUUUCUAUCUCCAGUGUUGCCUCACUUUGAGUUUUCUUUAUUGUUUCUACUUCCCUUUUUAGGUCUAGUAUGGUUUUGUUCAUUUCCAUCACCUGUUUGUAUGUUUUUUCCUCUUUUUCUGUAAGGACUUCUACCUGUUUGAUUGUGUUUUCCUGUUUUUCUUUAAGGACUUGUAACUCUUUAGCAGUGUUCUCCUGUAUUUCUUUAAGUGAUUUAUUAAAGUCCUUCUUGAUGUCCUCUACCAUCAUCAUGAGAUAUGCUUUUAAAUCUAGGUCUAGGUUUUCGGGUGUGUUGGGGUGCCCUGGACUGGGCGAAGUGGGAGUACUGGGUUCUGAUGAUGCUCAUAUGACCAAGUUCAGGAUGGCCAAGAGCUCCAGACAACUCUAGAUCUGCACUCACCCUAAAUACAUGCGUCCAUUAGCAUUUCCAGGCAGAGAGAUCAAAGCAAUGAAGACUGAGGAGCUAUAUGCUGGGGUGAAAACCUGCUAAGUCAGAGAAUCAGAGAAGAUGCCAGCUGACCUCCCUACUCCACUGACAUCCCAGAAGGCAAAACCCUCUCUCUCCUUCGCCAUGCUGUCUUAAAUACUUUUCAGCUCAAAGACCAUCCUUUCUGUUUACUUCCAUUCCUGUCAGCUGGUUCCUUGCUCUGCCUUUUGACCUGUCAUCGACCUUAUUUAGCUCUUGUUUACCCAAAGGUCUUCCACUACAGGUGUGUGCUUGGGCUGAACCACACCACAACUACUUGUUUACAAUAAACAGAAAGCUCUUGGGUUAAUGGUA